UACAGAGGUCCCAAGCGUUGUUCGGAUUCACUGGGCGUAAAGGGUGCGUAGGUGGCGUGGUAAGUUUGAUGUGAAAGCUCAGGGCUUAACCCUGAAAUGGCAUUGAAUACUACUGUGCUGGAGGUUUGGAGGGGGGACUGGAAUUCUUGGUGUAGCAGUGAAAUGCGUAGAUAUCAAGAGGAACACCAGUGGCGAAGGCGGGUUGCUGGGCCGACACUGACGCUGAUGCGCGAAAGCCAGGGGAGCGAACGGG
rnacentral:rRNA from 1 species